rnacentral:lncRNA from 1 species
AUGGCUGGGAUCACCACUAUUGAGGCAGUGAAGCACAAUAUCCAGGUUCUGCAGCAGCAGGCAGAUGAUGCAGAGGAGAGAGCUGAGCACCUCCAGCGAGAAGCUGAAGGAGAAAGGCGCGCCUGGGAACAGGCUGAGGCUGAGGUGGCCUCCUUGAACCAUAGGAUCCAGCUGGUUGAAGAGGAGCUGGACUGUGCUCAGGAGCACGUGGCCACUGCCCUGCAAAAGCCGGAAGAAGCGGAAAAAGCUACUGAUCAGAGUGAGAGAGAUAUGAAGGUUGUUAAAAACUGGACCUUAAAAGAUGGAAUUCCAGGAAAUCCAACUCAAAGAAGCUAAACACACUGCAGAAUAGGCAGAUAGGAAGUAUGAAGAGGUGGCUCGUAAGUUGGUGGUCAUUGAAAGAGACUUGGAACUCACAGAGGAACGAGCUGAGCUGGCAGUGUCCCAUUGCCGAGAGAUGGAUGAGCAGAUGAGACUGAUGGACCAUAACCUGAAGUGUCUGAGUGAUGCUGAAGAAAAGUACUCUCAAAAAGAAGACAAACGUGGAAGAGAUCAAGAUUCUUACUGAUAAACUCAAGGAGGUAGAGACCUGUGCUGAGUUUGCUGAGAGAUCGGUAGCCAAGCUGGAAAAGACAACUGAUGACUUGGAAGAUAAACUGAAAAUGUACCAAAGAGGGGCACUCUGUACAAAGGAUGCUGGACCAGACUCUGCUUGACCUGAAUGAGAUGUAG